GAUGAACGCUGGCGGCAGGCCUAACACAUGCAAGUCGAACGGAAGCACAGUAAGAGCGUGCCCUUAACGGUGGCGGGUGGCGGACGGGUAAGGCGUACAUCGCCCACCUCUUUUACGUGGAGGAUAACGUGGGGCCACUUCCGCUAAUGCCGCAUACGCCCAACGGGUUGGAUCAAUGGUUAUUCGGACCUUGCGCGACUGAUUGAGCCGGUGUCGGGUUAGCUAGUUGGGGGGGUAAGGGCACACCAAGGCGAGGCUACGUUGCCGAGCCGAGAGGAUGAUCAGCCACACUGGAACUGAGACACGGUCCAGACUCCUACGGGAGGCAGCAGUGGGGAAUCUUCGGCAAUGGGCGCAAGCCUGAUCCAGCCAUACCGCGUGGGUGAAGAAGGCCUUCGGGUCGUAAAGCCCUUUUGUUGGGGAAGAACAGCAGUAUGUUAAACCCCCGCUGUUUUGACGGUACCCAAAGAAUAAGCACCGGCUAACUACGUG
rnacentral:rRNA from 1 species